GGGAUGUGGGGCGCUUUCCUAGAGGCAGGGAAGGAUGAUGUCUGAGCUGAGACAGAAGGCUAGGUGGAUGCUGCCUAAGGAGACCUCAUUAGUCCAUUUUUGCAGGAAGAGAGGCAUGGAAAGAGAAGCCGAGUAAGGGACCCCAGAGAAGACGGGGAGACUGAGGCCCAGAGAGAAGGAAGUGGCUCCAGAUCACACAGAACAUCCAGGUCUCCUAAUCUAAAUCCAGGCACCUGUGCUGCCAUGCUUGCUCGUGCCCCACCCUGUCCUUCUGCUGUCCUCCCGCCCCCACAACGGCACAGCCUCUCCUCCUGAGGAUUCCUGAGGAGGGCAGGAAGGCCCUCUCAGGGCCCUAAUUUAUGAUUUCCCGGCAGCUUCCUUCCUCCCCUCACUCCCCUCCAGCCCCAGUCCCAGCUCCGUGAGGAAGGAAUGAGCUGGGUGAGAAGGGCAGCUCCACAGAGCAUAAAUAACUUGGCCAGGCGGCUGCAGGCUCUCCGGGUCCCCCAGCG
rnacentral:lncRNA from 1 species